rnacentral:rRNA from 1 species
UAGUCCACGCCGUAAACGAUGCUUACUCGCUGUUGGCGAUAUUACUGUCAGCGGCCAAGCGAAAGCGUUAAGUAAGCCACCUGGGGAGUACGCCCGCAAGGGUGAAACUCAAAGGAGUUGACGGGGGCCCGCACAAGCGGAGGAGCAUGUGGUUUAAUUCGAUGAUACGCGAGGAACCUUACCCGAACUUAAAUGGUGGACGACGGUUGCAGAAAUGUGACUUUCUUUUAGACGUCCAUCAAGGUGCUGUAUGGUUGUCGUCAGCUCGUGCCGUGAGGUGUUGGGUUAAGUCCCGCAACGAGCGCAACCCCUAUCGUUAGUUGCCAUCAGUUAGGCUGGGGACUCUAACGAGACUGCCUGCGCAAGCAGAGAGGAAGGCGGGGAUGACGUCAAAUCAUCAUGGCCCUUACGUUCAGGGCUACACACGUGCUACGAUGGUAGGUACAGAGGGCAGCCAAACCGCGAGGUUGAGCAAAUCCCUUAAAGCCUAUCCCAGUUCGGAUUGGAGUCUGCAACCCGA